UUUCUUUUUGUCACUGGCUUUCAGCCACUUGACUAUGGUGCCUGAGUGUCUUUUGCUGAGGGUUAGUCAGCUUGGAAAUCAUGGAGCUUUGUGGACAUCACUUCCCCUAACAUUCUGGAGCAGUUUGGGAGUCUUCAGCAUUCCGGUUAAAAAAUAAACCAUGGAUAUGGACACUAUUCUCCAGGGAAACUGAGGAGUAAGGUGAUAAGAUAGAUUUGCAAAUGCUUUCCUACAUUUUAGUUUCUAGUGAAUUAGAAGAGAAUGGUAUGAGGUAGAUAUGUUCAAUUGGCAUACCUCAACUAAAAGAAGGUAGAGACCACAAUCUGGAAGCACAGAAAAAAAAUCCAGCAUAGAAAAGAGAGUACCUGUGUCCUGAGGGCAUUCUUAUCACAUCUAUCUUUUUGAGGAAGUUAAAAAAGAUACCAGAAAGCAGUUGCUAUGGAUGAGGAAGACAGUACCUCAAAGUGUUUAAAAGCUCAGACUCUCAGCAAGUGACUUUAAGCAAGUCUCUUAAACUCCUUAAGGUUCAAUUACCUACCUAUAAAAAGUGAAUAAGAAUAAUUUCUAAGAUACAGAGCCGCAUUCAAAAAAUAUGAGAUAAUGUGUAUAAAACACUUUGCAUGAAUUUCAUCAAACAGUAAAUUUUAUUAACUCAGCUCUUGAUUUAUUUUUUGCAAGAAGAAGAAGAAGAAGAAGAAGAAGAAGAAGAAGAAGAA